rnacentral:lncRNA from 1 species
AAAGAUAAGAACCUAAAACACCAGACUCGGAGCCUUAAACUGCUAAAGUUGUCAAAAAAUAAGAACCCAAACCAACUGGGAUUCAAAUUCAUAGCAGUGAGGAGAAUUGCAACAAUGGCUGUAUAUAUAUGUAUAUGGAAUCAAAUAUUUGUGGUAUCAGCCUACCUCUCAUUGCACGAAAAAUAACAUUGUCUGGAUAAAUAAGUACAGUGCCUCUCUGAGAUAGCCUCUUCACAGGAGUAGCAACUAUGUUGUGUAUAUAGACAACACGAUCUUCAAGCAACUGCUCAUCAAAUAUAAGACUGUAGUUAGAUCAUUAAAACACUGCUAAGAAACACACUCAGAAAACCACAGGUCAAUAGAUGCCACCAGAUGCCACAAAAGACACAACACUGUCAUUCUAGAUAAUCUCGGAACUAGAAUUUGAGCAGAGUGUAAAAAUUAUUUGCCAUCAUCAUUUGUAGUUACAUAAUAGAAGUUAUAGUUCUGCAUCAUCAUUGCCUUAAGCAUAUCAUAAUUAUAAAAAGUUAGAAUUAUUAGGAUAAUUACAUUAUUACACACAUAGAAAUAUGCAAACAGAUAGUAGAAAAAAAUAUCAAAUUAAAACAGAAAGUUCAAUCAAGUUAAAAAUUCAAAAGCCUAAUCAUGAAAAAACAGAAACACAAAAGACCUAAGCAGAAACCCAAGAAACGAUUUGAACCCCCUCUUCCAAAAGGCAAAUGAUCAAACAGAUGGUGGGUAAUUAAGAUUGAGAACAAAAGAGAAGCCAAUUCAACACAAAACCCAUAUCAAGGACAUAAAAAACCCAAUAUCUACAGGUCAAAUUACACUUAAAUACCUUUUAUAGACAGAUUGGGUAUCAACGCUCUUCGCCACGGAAAUUGGUUUCUUGGAUGAUGGGAUCGCUGAAUUGGCCACCGACGUGUUACCAUCUUGGUGGUGAUUGUUGAUUGUAGUCAUGGUCUUCUAAUUUCUCUAUCUAUAGAUUUAGAAAUUGAUGCCAAAAAUAGAGUUUAUAUAUAGAGAGAGUCAAAUUAGAGAGGAAAUGGUCUACUUACCAGACAAAAAGGGGGACCAAGGGCACAAUGGCAAUCACCCAGCCAAAAAUGAGGGCAUAACGGUCAUUUCACCACCACGCAGAGCACCGCGUGACCACGGACGGGGGUAACCCUGUCCGUCCCAUAUCCGGCCGUGGAUGGAGUUCGAAGGCGAUCAACGAAGAAAUCAGGGAGAGAAAGAUUAUCGCCAAAUACUGGAGAAGUGGGCUCAGAGGGAAAAAAAAUCAGUAAAAACCCAAAUCCGGGACCAUCUCCUUCCACCAAACAGGCUGUAAUGCUUAUGAGGCAAUCUUGGUGAUGCUAGGUUGAACUAUUUAUAUGAUUGCGAUCGUGAUUCUUUGCUUAUAGUGAAUGGCAUGAAAAAUUGCGAGGAAUAUUUCCCGAUGCUGGCAAUGUUUAUAAAAUUUUCCCAUCUAAUAGAAAAAGGAAAAAAAAAUGGCUUGUGAUUUUGAAAAUCAACAAUUAAUUGAAUUUGGUAAUAAAGUGAUUAGUAUGCAAUUAAUCUUCGUUGAGGCUGUGCUAAUAAAAAAAAAUCUAUGCUAAAUGGGUGGUAAUCGGUUUGGUCAGUUAGGUUUUGAGAGAAAUUAUGAGUUCUAAAUAAAAAUUUUGAUAUGUAGAAUUGUGAAACCGAAACUUAUAUUUUUAGUAAAAAAACCGAACCAAUCGAUUAGGGGGAAUUUGGUUAAGUUUUUUGUUUUUUUUUUCAUUUUUUUUUCUUUUUUUGGGUAUCCAUAAAUAUAUUCACUUAAUCAUUAAAUUUUAAACCACAAAAUAUAAAAAUUAACAGGUUUAAAAUUAAAAACUUUAAUAGUUUAUAAAUUCUAAUAAGACUUUAACAAGUGACAACAAAAUUUUAACAAGUCCAACAUUCUCUAAAAAAAAUAGAAAAUGCUAUAAAUCGUCUUUAGGGUAGUCGAUAGUGUGUAAAAAAGUAUGAAAAUUAUAUAAAAAUAUGUUAAAAUACAUUAAAAAAUAUAAAAUAUACAUUAAUUUUUUUUUUUUUUAUCAUUUCGUGUUUCUUAACCACCAUCCGGUCGUUAACCAGACCCAAAAGAAAUAUGUAGAUAACUAUGGAGUUUGCUAUGUCACCGAAACAAUGCCAGUCCAACAGAGUUGAAUGCCUUGAAGAAUGGCCUCGUUCUACGAUGGUCAAGCUGUACGCAAUGAACGCAAUAACUUGAUAAAGACACGUGGCAUGAAGAGAUAGGUAGAGACUCGACGCAUAAUUAAAAGGCUAUUAAAUUCAGGGGUUUGGAUCCUAUACGAAUGUUGCCCCUCCAAAGAUCAUCCAGAGCUUUUGCUCACGGCGCGACACCUGGCCGAGGAUGCAUAUGUGGCUAGAAAUAAGCCACGAUACCAACUCAAGACAAUUUGAGUUCAGCGGUGCCGUAUUGCAUCAACGAAAUUGCAGCUCUGUUCAAUUUUUUUUGGACGAUUAAGGGCUAAUUACAGUUUGUUCCUUUAAAGUGUUGAUUAAUUCCAAUUUGGUCCUUUAACUAGAACUUUUUCCACUUUAGCUCUCAAUCUAUUGAAUUAAUUGCGAUAAAGUCCAAUCAUUAAUUCCGUCCAUUCUUCUUAGUUUGCAAAGAAGAAGGACAAAUCACUUUAAAUGUGUAUUGAUUAUCGACGACUGAAGAAGAACGGAACACUUCGAAUGUGUGUUGAUUACCGGCGACUGAAUCGUGUGACGAUAAAGAACAAGUAUCAACUUUUGAGAAUGGAUGACUUGUUUGACCAAUUGAAGGUUUUGAGUUGUUUCUCGAAGAUUGACUUGAGAUCAGGUUAUUACCAGUUGCGGAUUAAGGAAGAGGAUAUAGCGAAGAUGGCUUUUCACUCACGCUACGGACACUAUGAAUUUCUUAUAAUAUCGUUUGGUCUUACGAAUGCGCUAUCAACUUUCAUGGACUUGAUGAAUCGUGUCUUCCAUCCAUAUCUUGAUCGGUUCAUAGUCGUGUUCGUGGACGACAUCUUGAUCUACUCUCCAUCAGUUGAGUCGCAUGAGGAGCACCUGAGGAUUGUAUUAUAGCUUAUACUGUGCCGCUUCACAUGAUGGCUUGGUGUGUGUUUUGAUAUAGCUGGGCAUGGUGAUUGUGUAUGGUUCACGUCAGUUGAAGAUGCACAAGUAGAAUUAUCCGACUCAUGACUUAGGGCAUAUGGCCGUUAUAUUUUCUUUGAAGAAUUAGAGGCAUUACUUGUAUGGAGAACAUUUUGAAGUGCUUUCAGACCACAAGAGCUUGAAGUACCUAUUUACGCAAAAGGACUUGAACUUGAGGUAGCGACGUUGGAUGGAAUAUAUGGAGGACUACGACUUUGACUUACAUUAUCAUCCAGGGAAGACCAAUGUUGUGGCCGAUGCGCUUAGUAAAAAAUUCCUUAGUACCUUGACAAGCAUUUCUAUUCAUGAGUGGCAUAUGCUUCAGUAUCUUGGUGAGUACGACUUACUUCUUAGCGAGACAGACGAGUUUGCUACAUCCAUCAUCAGUCGAAUUAUUGAGGCACAUCAGUAGGAUGUGGAGGCCAAGACGAUUUGUGACCGCAUUGCAAGAGGUGUAAGGCCAACAAAUUGGAUUUUGCAUCCAAAUCAGGGUUUGAGGUACAAGUCCAGAUUAUUUGUACCUUUGUCUAGCAGAGACAAUUUUCUUCGUGAGUUUCAUCAUUCAUAAUUUGCAGUUCAUUCUGGAGGGAUGAGGAUGUAUCAUGACUUGUGUCGCCAAUUUUGAUGAAGAAGAAUGAACAAGGACGUUGCCUUGUUCGUUUUGCAAUGUCUAACUUGCCAACAAGUGAAAGCAAAGCACCAGAGACCAGCAGGUUUUCUACAACUAUUGUUAGUUGCUAAAUGGAAAUGGGAGUAUAUCACGAUGGAUUUCGUGGUGGGUUUGUCUAUAUCACUGAGAGGGCAUGACAUCGUUUGGGUUGUGGUCGAUUGUUUGACCAAAUCUGAGCACUUUCUAUUUGUUAGUCAUAUUCAGUAGAGGAUCUUGGCAUUGUUUAUACUCGUGAAAUUGUUCAACUUCACAGAGUUUCGGUAUCUAUCGCUUCUAAUAGAGACCUGCAUUUUACAUCGUUCUUUGGGAAGGGGAUGCAGUCAACUCUUGUCUCAAAUUUGAGAUUUAGCAAAGCUUUUCAUCCUCAGACCGACGGAUAGUUUGAGCAUACUAUUCAGAUUCUAGAGGACAUACUUCAAGCACGUGUGCUUGAAUUUAGAGGAUCGUGGGAGGAUCAUGUACACUUAGUGGAAUUCGCGUACAAUAAUAGUUAUUAGGUGAGGAUCGAGAUGAUACCUUUUGAAGCAUUGUCCGACAAAUUAUGUAGGUCACCUAUUUAUUGGACCGACGUUGGAGAGGCAUCGCUUGCAAAGUCGGAUUAGGUUGGUGAUAUGACCGAAAAAGUAGUCUUGAUUAGGAAGCGUUUGCUCACAGCACAGAGUCGCUAGAAGAAUUAUGCCUACCGAAGGAAACGUCACUUGGAGUUUAGAGACCACGUAUUCUUAAAGGUUUCAUCAACGAGGGGAUUGAUGCAUUUUAGGUGUAGCGGCUAGCUAUCAUCGAGGUUUAUUGAACCGUUCGAUAUCCUCGGUCGUAAAACGAGGGGAUUGAUGCAUUUUAGGUGUAGCGGCUAGCUAUCGUCGAGGUUUAUUGAACCGUUCGAUAUCCUCGGUCGUAUUGGAGCUGUGGCGUUUCAUCUUGCUUUGCCACCGAGGUUGGCCAGUGUUCACAAUGUGUUUAACAUCUCGAUGUUGCGGAAGUAUGAGCCCGAUCUUUCACACGUUUUGGAUUGGAGAGAUCUUAUCAUCAACGAUGACAUCACUUAUGAGGAGUAACCAAUUCAUAUGUUGAAUACAUGGGAUCAAGUUCUUAAAGGGAAGACCAUUCCCUUAGUGAAGAUUUUAUGGCUUCAUCAUAGCAUGGAAGCGGCUACAUAGGAGCAUGAGUCAGAGGUUCG